CUUCGUUCUUACACAAUCUGACAGACAGUCAUUGUAAAAGCAGACGUACAAGCCCCCUGUCGCCUCUCUGAUUUCCCUGUCUGUCUGUCUGUUUUUCUCUCAUUCUCACUCUCAACAUGCACAACUGUUUACCACUUACCAGCAACGCAGACACUUGCAACAAAGUCUGAUGAGGAAGACUGAGAAUAAAUAAGCCAACGUGAAGUCCCAUGAAGCAGUCGUACGUGUCAAUUCCAAGCAUUCAAAUGUGUGCGAGCAGAGAAAAGAGAAGUCAGCAUGUUAGGAUCACUACCAGGGUAAACCUCCAACGGCUAAACUGAUCAGCUCAGAGUGAAACCACGGGUCUUUACCUGAACUCAAUCAGAAUGUGCCAACAUCUGACAACCAUAAAACUUUUGGACAUUGUGACAGAAGACAUCACAGCUACUGAAUAGACUGCAGCCCCUAAAGAUACAAAGACCAAUGCAGCUCCCUCAAUGCCAUAGGGCCAAUAAAGAAAACGACCUGCAGGGCUCCCUCGUAACAUUAAUACUUUUUAUUACAGCAAAUCACAUGUGGGUCAGACAUGGAAUAUUUAGCAUCCUUCAGUCAUUCGGUAAAGGCAAAUGAAGGGCCUCUUGAGGCCAGAGUAUUCACAGUACCAACCGAUAAUUCCUGGUUGUGUGCAUUUAGCUGCAACCUUAAUCUGCUUAAUAUGGUAAGGAGAGUACAUGGGUGAUUCAAGGUCCAAAGAGAUAUCAGUGAAGCCCUUAAUCAUUUAACGCAAGCAGGAAACCCUGACCGUGACUCACAACCCUGGAAGACCCUGCUUGUCACUAAAGUAAGAAAAAAUCCCCUUCAUUUUAUCCGUAGAGAAAUUGAUUUUUAACGUUAAUGAAUAAACCUUUCAAGACAGACCUACCUUAAAUUCUGAGGAGGUUAAGCAAUGACGUGCUACUGUAGAAACCACAAGUCAGUGUCAUUACAACAACACCGUGUUUAAUAAAGGCAUUUAGCUCA